rnacentral:tRNA from 1 species
GGCCUCGUAGCUCAGCUGGUAGAACGUGCGCGUACAAAGCGUAGGCGGCGUCCUUGCGUGGGUUCGAUACCCAUCGAGACUA